CGGCAGGCCUAACACAUGCAAGUCGAGCGCGCCUUCGGGCGAGCGGCGGACGGGUUAGUAACGCGUGGGAACGUGCCCAGAUCUACGGAAUAGCCACUGGAAACGGUGAGUAAUACCGUAUACGCCCUUAGGGGGAAAGAUUUAUCGGAUUUGGAUCGGCCCGCGUUAGAUUAGGUAGUUGGUGGGGUAACGGCCUACCAAGCCUACGAUCUAUAGCUGGUUUUAGAGGAUGAUCAGCAACACUGGGACUGAGACACGGCCCAGACUCCUACGGGAGGCAGCAGUGGGGAAUCUUGGACAAUGGGGGCAACCCUGAUCCAGCCAUGCCGCGUGAGUGAAGAAGGCCCUAGGGUCGUAAAACUCUUUCGCCUGUGAUGAUAAUGACAGUAGCAGGUAAAGAAACCCCGGCUAACUCCGUGCCAGCAGCCGCGGUAAUACGGAGGGGGUUAGCGUUGUUCGGAAUUACUGGGCGUAAAGCGCACGUAGGCGGAUUAGAAAGUUAGAGGUGAAAUCCCGGGGCUCAACCCCGGAACUGCCUUUAAAACUACUAGUCUAGAGUUCGAGAGAGGUGAGUGGAAUUCCGAGUGUAGAGGUGAAAUUCGUAGAUAUUCGGAGGAACACCAGUGGCGAAGGCGGCUCACUGGCUCGAUACUGACGCUGAGGUGCGAAAGUGUGGGGAGCAAACAGGAUUAGAUACCCUGGUAGUCCACACCGUAAACGAUGAAUGCCAGUCGUCGGAUAGUAUACUAUUCGGUGACACACCUAACGGAUUAAGCAUUCCGCCUGGGGAGUACGGUC
rnacentral:rRNA from 1 species